GAGGCAAGGGGCCGGCGCCCUAGAAAAUGUAAGCCCUCCUCCUUUCAGCCGUGGCCUCCCUCUCCUCCUUCUCCAUCUUCAGCCGCAAGCAAGGAAGAAAUAAAGAAGGUGUUGGCGGCCCUCUUCCUCCCUCAUCCUCCUUCCAACGUAGGGAAAAGAAAGAAGGCUGCAGGGGCUGUGUUCUUCUUCCUUGAGUUCUCCUUCUUCUUCCUCCUCCUCCCAAGGACAAUCAAGGGUUGAUUAAGAGGGAGGACAUCAGCCAUCAAAGUUAUCUCUGCAAGGAAACUAGCACCCCGGGGAGAUAGAAAGCUUGGAUCGGUUCCUGCUUCGUGUGGAUACCCGUAGAGGCCGGGCACUUGAACGGCUUCAAGCGAACCUUCAUCCAAACCACGAUCAUCAGUUUGCGGUGAUCAUCUACCCGCACAAGGUGAAGAUCUGAUCUUCUAAUGUUUUUAAAAAGGUUUUUAAUCCUUAUCUAUCUACGAACGGUUUUAAACGUUCAUGCGAUGAACGGUUGAUCCCGCGCAUGCCUCUUCCACUGCAUCUGAAAUUUUUGAAAUUUUUCUGCGGCAUGGGCGAGUUCCUAACAGUGGUAUCAGAGCCUAGGCAUCGUAGAUUAAGGUAAGGAUUAAUUAUUAAUAGGCUUAUUAGAUCUGAAAUUUAAAUGAUUAUGCAUGCUGAAAAUUUUCUGCAUGCAGAUUUUUUCUAGGGUGCUGAUUUUUGCAUGCUGAUUUUUAUGUGAUAAAAAGAUGAUCUAAUCGCAUUAUUAAUGGGAUUACAAAGUUUAGAAUCAUGAUUAGCAUGAUCAGCAACCUAUGUCAUGAGAUAAUCAAUUAGAUUUCAGAUCUAAAAAUAUAAUUGCUGCAUGUGGUGAUAAUCAUAGGAUUCAUACCCUUUUGGUAUCAAAUGUAAUGACCUGCGAUGUGAUCUGUAAUGUCAUGUAAUUUUUCAGAUGCUUGCAUGCAUCUUAUUUGAUGUUUUGAAAGGCCUGCGUGCCUUCUAAAAAGGGGAUAUAAUUUAUUAUUAUUUUUAUUUUACAUCUGGUUGUAUUUCUGUGAUGUGAUGUACGUCAACGAUCAAGUUGAAGACAUGGCAUGAGAUGAACGACGAUCUAAGUGGUUGAUGGCGAUUGGAUCAAGAGUUGAUCAAGGAUCGAAUCAAGGAGGCUUGAAACCAAUUCAAGAGUUGAAGACCAAUUGAUCGAUUGACGUGCAUGUGCUUGUAAUACGACCUAAUUAGAAUCCAUGAUCAUCACCUAUUUAAAAUUUGGUUUUAUUUGAUGCUGCAAUUAUAACUGCCUGUGAUGUGCCAUUUGCAUGUGAUGUGAAUGAGAGCAGGGGUAGAUAGGUUUACAUGUGAUGUAACAAACCCAAUUGAGACCUAAAUUAAAAACCUCCUCAAUCAACUCGAGAGUGAACCAACAUGAGCAAGUCAUAUUAGAUUAAUUGAUCUAAUUGGUGUCUAGGAAAGCAUGAAAGGUGGUUACUUAAUUAGGACCUUACUCUCUGAGUAAGGGGAGCCUCCCACCUACUUACCUGGCCAAUUGUUCGAUUACCUCUUAUGAAGAGCUCAAGUUGCAAACACUAAGACCUGAUUAACCAAUAUUAAGUCAAUAGCUCUUCCACUGUAGCAGAACUGCUAAGGUCUUUCUGAUGUUGAUUUGUCUCGGCUGGAUACAGUGGG
rnacentral:lncRNA from 1 species